CUGGCGGCAUGCCUACACAUGCAAGUCGAACGGCAGCAUGAAAUGGGGUAACCCAUUUUGAUGGCGAGUGGCGGACGGGUGAGUAAUAUGUAGGAAUCUACCUAGAGGUGAGGGAUAACUUAGGGAAACUUAAGCUAAUACCACAUAAGCCCCACGGGGGAAAGCAGGGGAUCUUCGGACCUUGCGCCUUAUGAUGAGCCUACAUCGGAUUAGCUUGUUGGUGGGGUAAAGGCCUACCAAGGCGACGAUCCGUAGCUGGUCUGAGAGGAUGAUCAGCCACACUGGGACUGAGACACGGCCCAGACUCCUACGGGAGGCAGCAGUGGGGAAUAUUGGACAAUGGGGGCAACCCUGAUCCAGCAAUGCCGCGUGUGUGAAGAAGGCCUUAGGGUUGUAAAGCACUUUCAGUGGGGAGGAAGGAUAGAGUAUUAAUACCAUUCUAUUUUGACGUUACCCACAGAAGAAGCACCGGCUAACUCUGUGCCAGCAGCCGCGGUAAU
rnacentral:rRNA from 1 species